GACGAACGCUGGCGGCGUGCCUAACACAUGCAAGUCGAACGGAAAGGCCCUGCUUUUGUGGGGUGCUCGAGUGGCGAAGGGGUGAGUAACACGUGAGUAACCUGCCCUUGACUUUGGGAUAACUUCAGGAAACUGGGGCUAAUACCGGAUAGGAGCUCCUGCUGCAUGGGGGUGUUUGGAAAGUUUCGGCGGUGGGGGAUAGACUCGCGGCUUAUCAGCUUGUUGGUGGGGUAGUGGCCUACCCAGGCUUUGACGGGUAGCCGGCCUGGGAGGGUAGCCGGCCACAUUGGGACUGAGAUACGGCCCAGACUCCAACGGGAGGCAACGGUGGAGAAUAUUACACAAUGGGCGGGAGCCUGAUGCGACAACGCCGCGUGCGGGAAGACGGCCUUCGGGUUGUGAACCGCAUUCACCUGUGACGAAGCGUGAGUGACGGUAAUAGGUGAAGAAGCACCGGCUAACUACGUG
rnacentral:rRNA from 1 species